CUUGCUUCUCUUGAGAGCGGCGGACGGGUGAGUAAUGCCUAGGAAUCUGCCUGGUAGUGGGGGAUAACGUUCGGAAACGGACGCUAAUACCGCAUACGUCCUACGGGAGAAAGCAGGGGACCUUCGGGCCUUGCGCUAUCAGAUGAGCCUAGGUCGGAUUAGCUAGUUGGUGGGGUAAUGGCUCACCAAGGCGACGAUCCGUAACUGGUCUGAGAGGAUGAUCAGUCACACUGGAACUGAGACACGGUCCAGACUCCUACGGGAGGCAGCAGUGGGGAAUAUUGGACAAUGGGCGAAAGCCUGAUCCAGCCAUGCCGCGUGUGUGAAGAAGGUCUUCGGAUUGUAAAGCACUUUAAGUUGGGAGGAAGGGUUGUAGAUUAAUACUCUGCAAUUUUGACGUUACCGACAGAAUAAGCACCGGCUAACUCUGUGCCAGCAGCCGCGGUAAUACAGAGGGUGCAAGCGUUAAUCGGAAUUACUGGGCGUAAAGCGCGCGUAGGUGGUUUGUUAAGUUGGAUGUGAAAUCCCCGGGCUCAACCUGGGAACUGCAUUCAAAACUGACUGACUAGAGUAUGGUAGAGGGUGGUGGAAUUUCCUGUGUAGCGGUGAAAUGCGUAGAUAUAGGAAGGAACACCAGUGGCGAAAGCGACCACCUGGACUAAUACUGACACUGAGUGCGAAAGCGUGGGGAGCAAACAGGAUUA
rnacentral:rRNA from 1 species